rnacentral:rRNA from 1 species
GAUGAACGCUGGCGGCGUGCCUAAUACAUGCCAGUCGAGCGAACAGACGAGGAGCUUGCUCCUCUGACGUUAGCGGCGGACGGGUGAGUAACACGUGGAUAACCUACCUAUAAGACUGGGAUAACUUCGGGAAACCGGAGCUAAUACCGGAUAAUAUAUUGAACCGCAUGGUUCAAUAGUGAAAGACGGUUUUGCUGUCACUUAUAGAUGGAUCCGCGCCGCAUUAGCUAGUUGGUAAGGUAACGGCUUACCAAGGCAACGAUGCGUAGCCGACCCGAGGGGGUGAUCGGCCACACUGGAACUGAGACACGGUCCAGACUCCUACGGGAGGCCGCAGUAGGGAAUCUUCCGCAAUGGGCGAAAGCCUGACGGAGCAACGCCGCGUGAGUGAUGAAGGUCUUCGGAUCGGAAAACUCUGUUAUUAGGGAAGAACAAAUGUGUAAGUAACUGUGCACAUCUUGACGGUACCUAAUCAGAAAGCCACGGCUAACUACGUG